rnacentral:lncRNA from 1 species
UUACAGCAUGUCAAACUUUUCAAACUAUCUUAGAAUGUUUCUGAUUCUUUGUAGCCUUUGAACUUGUUCAGAACCUUCUGAUUCUAGAACAAUAUCAGUUGCUGGAACUCCAGAAGUAGCGACUUCAGAAGCCUGACUACCUUCGGAGUUUGGAAUAUUCCCAGAAUCUCGAUUACCACCAGAAUCUGAAUCACCAUCAGAAUCUGGAUCACCAAAAAUUGAAUCACCAUCAGAAUCAGAUUCUUCCUCAGAAUCAAUUUCGCCUUCUGAU